rnacentral:rRNA from 1 species
AUACGGAGGAUCCGAGCGCUAUCCGGAUUUAUUGGGUUUAAAGGGUGCGCAGGCGGCCAUUUAAGUCAGCGGUUAAAUCGUGGGGCUCAACCCCAUUCUGCCGUUGAUACUGGGUGGCUUGAUUGCGGUCGAGGUUGGCGGAAUUCGUUGUGUAGCGGUGAAAUGCAUAGAUAUGACGAAGAACAACGAUUGCGUAGGCAGCUGGCCAGACCGCAAAUGACGCUCAGGCACGAAAGUGCGGAGAUCGAACAGGAUUAGAUACCCUGGUAGUCCGCACAGUAAACGAUGAAUACUUGUUGUCGGCGAUAUAAUGUCGGAGGCAAAGCGAAAGCGAUAAGUAUUCCACCUGGGGAGUACGCCGGCAACGGUGAAACUCAAAAGAAUUGACGGGU